GCCAGUGUGGCGCAAUGGUAGCGCAUCUGAUUUGUAAUCAGGCGGUUGCAGGUUCGAGUCCUGUCACUGGCUCCA
rnacentral:tRNA from 2 species